rnacentral:rRNA from 1 species
AGUGAACGCUGGCGGUAGGCCUAACACAUGCAAGUCGAACGGCAGCACAGUAAGAUCUUGCUCUUACGGGUGGCGGGUGGCGGACGGGUGAGGAAUACAUCGGAAUCUACUUUUUCGUGGGGGAUAACGUAGGGAAACUUACGCUAAUACCGCAUACGACCUACGGGUGAAAGCAGUGGAUCUUCGGACCUUGCGCGACUGAAUGAGCCGAUGCCGGAUUAGCUAGUUGGCGGGGUAAAGGCCCACCAAGGCGACGAUCCGUAGCUGGUCUGAGAGGAUGAUCGGCCACACUGGAACUGAGACACGGUCCAGACUCCUACGGGAGGCAGCAGUGGGGAAUAUUGCACAAUGGGCGCAAGCCUGAUCCAGCCACACCGCGUGGGUGAAGAAGGCCUUCGGGUUGUAAAGCCCUUUUGUUGGGAAAGAAAAGCAGCGGGUUAAUACCCCGCUGUUCUGACGGUACCCAAAGAAUAAGCACCGGCUAACUUCGUG